AGUUUAUAAAAUAUUAGGAUCUAUUAUAUUCUUUUUUCUUUAACUGUCAAUUUUUUUGACGUAUCUCAUAUAUUAUAGUAUUACAAUGAAGUGCUCUAAUUUAUCUGUUAAAAAAGGUUUCAUCACUGUUUCCUGUAGUAAUUCUCAAUAAAUUUUUAAAUAGGAUAUAUUAAAUAGGAUAUAUUAUCUAAAGUAAACAGGCUUUUAAGCCUUCAAUUUGCCCCAAUUGACAUGAAGUGCGCAUUUCGAAAAGCCAGUGAACGCAGCGUCAUACGGGCACCCCCACCCCAAUCCACCGGAAACCCCCCCGGAUGAACCCGCAGGAAGGCGCGCGGCUGAAGAACUCUUGGACAGCUGGAAGGCCGCAGGAUCACGGUGAAGGCCUCUUCUGUAUAGAGGACGGGGGCGGAAACGUCACGUGGUCUCCGCAGAGACUGGUCAGUUAUUUGGAGACAACAUGUACAAAUAGUUCCUGGACUGAUCUGCUAACUUUGAGGUGGAGAGGCUGUCAGGUUCAUCUGUUUCAGGGUCCUGCAUGCUCUCCCUCCAUGUUUGCCGUAGCAGUGGAUGGAACUUGCAAAAUGUACUGUUUUGAGAGCCAACUGGGGCUCAGUGGUUAUUUUGAAGAUGCGUUUCUGACCAAAAACACUGUGGAGACCUCCUUUGUGAACUGCAUUCAUGGGGAAAUAGAAAAUAAUCCUGGAGAUGGGAGAUGUGGAGCAGGAAAGUUUGUGGCAGCACCAGAGUCCUCCAACAAGUCUUCUGGCAAAGUAAAUGAGGAAGGAUCGCAGUCUACCGUCGUGGAGUUUUGCUGAAAGGACUGAACAUGUUCCAUCCAUCCAUCCAUCUUCUUCCAUUCAUUCAGAACCAGGUUGUGAGGGCAGCAGUCUUAGCAAAGAUGCCCACACUUCCCUCUCCUCCAGCUCCUCUUGGGGGACCCCGGGGCCAGCUGAGAGACGUAGUCUCCCCAGCGUGUCCUGGGUCUCCCUUAGGGCCUCUGCCCAGUGAGACAUGCAUGUCAGGGUACAGACUACAUUUUAAUUGUAGCAAGACUGAAGUAAAAUGUAGCAAAAUGACAAUGAGUUAUCUUAAAUUAGGGGUAAAUGACAUGAGAAAUUAAGAAUAUUAGAAGUGUGGAGUGAUACGUGUAUUUAUCAGUAUGUUAGCUGCAGGAAGGGUGCUGUCCUUGACACGUUCCUUUACUCAGACAGGAUGACAGGUAGGGAAGGGGGUAGCCGAUGAUCUGCUCCAGUAUCUUCAGCACAGAAGCUUCUACUGCUCUUCUUCAGUUUGAUCUGAGAGCCAGACCAUGAUACAGUUGGACUGGCUGAGCGGUAGGUUGCCAGCAGCUUCAGACGUGCUGAUGUGCCUUGUUGAUAACGUCCUGGAUGUUAGGAAACCAAGUUAGAUCAGCUGAGAUGGGGAUGCCCAGGAAAGGGAAGCUGUGAACCCUCCUCUGUGCCUACUAAAGUCCAAGAUGACUUUCAUGGUCUUUUAUUUGCCGAUCAGCCUUACACUAUACAGUUUCCGCACUUGUCUACAAAGUUCACCUCAGUGACCUUUAAUAAGUCUUUGUUAUUGGCAAGUUAAUUACUUAUAUCCAAGACAUGGAGAUGUGGGUCCAGUAUGAGCAGGAUUUGGGAAAUGGCAGUUGCCAAGAACUCACAUGAAGUUUCAAGGUUUUUGCCUUUAUUUGGAGGAAAAAAAGUUUUUGUCCUUUGUUUGUUGUGCAGAAUUGCAAACCUAGAAAGAAAUCAAGUUGAAAGAAUUUAUAUAAAUGUAUUUGCCCUUCUUUUGACCCUUCUACAUCAUGAAUAUUUGGUGGCUGUUGCUUGGCGACUGUGAGAUCUCUCCAUAGGAUUGACAUGGGCUGGGCCUCUCCAUGACCUUGAUAUGAUUGUUCUUCAGCCAUUCCUUGGUUGCCUUGGCUGUAGGUUCUAGGUCACUAACCUGUUGGAAGACCCAUUCAUGACUGAUUUGAAGGGUCCUGGCUUAAGGAGGGUAGGAAGUUCUCACUCAGGAUUUUCCAUUAAUGGCUCCAUCAACGUGGUGACGUAGCUCUGUGCAGAAAAAUAGCCACAAAGCAUAAUGCUUCCACCUCCAUGUUUGACAGUGGGGAAGCUGUUCUUGGGGUCAUAGGUAGCAAUUCUCUUCCUCCAAACCCAAUGGUUGAGUUGAUGCCAAAGAGCUCAGUUCUGAGCCAAACAUUCCAUUAUGCAGAAUAAACUGAUAAAGCAAACCCUAUUUUUCAGUGUGUGAUUUUCAUUUUUUCAUAAAUCUUAGGACAAUUUAGAUGAUAAAAGUAACAAAUAAAUGAAAACAGUAUAAUACAGCAAAUAUGUAAAUAUUUGAUGUGAUGAACAAUGCUUAUCUGAUUUAGACCCAACAUGAAAUAUUUUUUGACACACACACAUCAAGUUGUGUUAUUUAAUGCUCGUAAUUUAGACACAAAUGAUAGAAAUGUUAGGUUUAUAUGCCAAAGAUAUGCCAUGUGAAAAUUUUAGUGCAAAUACGCAUGCGUGCGCGCCGUGCACAUAAAGCCACCCCACCCCCACGUAUCCGCGCGCCGGUCGGUGGGUGCUGGGCGUCAAUAAAGGUAAUCUGGUUGUCGCGCGUUCUGCAUCUCUGCACGAGCUAAAGAAGUCUCAAAGAUGAAUGCCGCUGUUGUUAUCACUGUAGAGCGGGGCUGAAAAAUACGGCCUCCAUCGAGAGACUGAACGUAACACGACUGCAGCUGAAUCUGCCACGAGGCUCGACAACGUCUUCCAUCAACUGCAAAGCGGUGAUCGCUGUGGCCACCAAAACAUCCAAAUGUCAGGCGGGCUACAAAGAUUUCAGGCCAAAAGAGAACGCCUCACAUGUGAUGAAGUGUCUGUAUUGGUGCCCUAAGUUCCCUGAUCAAGCAGAAACGUGCUUUGACUGGAUGAAGGCCUUGUAUCAGGUAUACUGGUUGGAAAAACCAGCAGCCCUCCAGUGCUUCAGCCGUCCAACCAUCAACCGUUUCAGACAUCCAUCCUCCCACCACUUCAGCCCCACAGCCGUCCACCAGUGUGCCAACUUCGGACAUUUUACUAUCCUGGGGGGGGUCAUGGCCUCUACGCUGGAUUCCAAAAAAGAGACAAAAAAAACCCCGACCUCAACCCCCACUCUUAGUCAGACAUGUUUAUUUUUUUAUUUACAAUAAUAAAUAAUAUACUAUGUACAUUUAUUUUGUUUUACUUUUUUAUACUUAGUUUCCUUAUUUCCUAUAAUAUUUAUUAGUAGUUGUUGUUUGUUGAUGUUAGUUCUUUUUAGACCCUUUUAUGUUAAAAUAGACGUAAAUGAUCCAGAUGCUGAUAUUCUAAUAUAUAGACAGAUUUAUGAAUGAAUUAUUCUCAACAGAAGUUCAACGCUACUGUGGUAGCAGUUUGACUGUUUUACUGUUUAGUUUUACUGCAAUCUGUCGUGCCUCACCCACUGUCCAUCCCAUAAAAAGAACAAUUCUACAUCAUUAACCUUUUAUUAUUUUUAUUCAUAUGGCACAUUCAUAAA